rnacentral:rRNA from 1 species
UAGAGCGGCGGACGGGUGAGUAACACGUGGACAAUCUGCCCCCCGGCCCGGGAUAGCCCAGGGAAACCUGGAUUAAUACCGGAUGAGACGGGACCCGCGAAGGCGGGACCCGGGAAAGGCGCUGCGGCGCCGCCGGGGGAUGAGUCUGCGUCCCAUUAGCUAGACGGCGGGGUAACGGCCCACCGUGGCGACGAUGGGUAGCCGGCCUGAGAGGGUGGACGGCCACAUUGGAACUGAGACACGGUCCAGACUCCUACGGGAGGCAGCAGCUAAGAAUCUUCCGCAAUGGGCGAAAGCCUGACGGAGCGACGCCGCGUGAACGAAGAAGGCCGUGAGGUUGUAAAGUUCUUUUCGGGAGAGGGAACAACCGUGGCAGGGAAUGGCCGCGGGAUGACGUGAAUCCCGGAAUAAGCCCCGGCUAACUACGUGCCAGCAGCAGC